CAGCAGCCACGGGAAAACGUAGGGUGCAAGCGUUAAUCGGAAUUACUGGGCGUAAAGCGUGCGCAGGCGGUUCGCUAAGACAGAUGUGAAAUCCCCGGGCCUAACCUGGGAACUGCAUUUGUGACUGGCGGGCUAGAGUAUGGCAGAGGGGGGUAGAAUUCCACGUGUAGCAGUGAAAUGCGUAGAGACGUGGAGGAAUACCGAUGGCGAAGGCAGCCCCCUGGGCCAAUACUGACGCUCAUGCACGAAAGCGUGGGGGGCAAACAGGAUUAGAUACCCGCGUAGUCCCUGUCUCUUAUAU
rnacentral:rRNA from 1 species